GUGGUGUUUGGUUUGUUACGGUUGGUUGGAUGACUGCUUGCGCAGCGACUUCCAGGCGUGCAUACCUCUUCAGUUGUGCGUCCAAGGUUUGUAUCGCCUUGGUCGUGUUGUUGGUUUCCUGUGUUGCGUACCUAAUCCAUGGAAUUGUUGGAUCGAUCGAUGGUUAUUAUUCGUCUUGUGUGGCUCCUGCGGCAUUAGAUGAACCUUGAAGCGGUCUCAGUGAUCCACGUUGUUGAAGCUCAUGCAUCGACGUUGUGGCUCAUUGGGCAUUGCUUGGACGCUUGGAUACGGAAGCUGUUGUGGGCAUGGGUGUCAUGACCCUUUGUUUGCCCUCGUUGAGCGUUCUCGCUUCUCUCAAACGACAGCCUGCUAGGAAAUUGGCUCGUUACCAGCCUGGUCGGCAACGUCGAAGAGGAAUGC
rnacentral:misc_RNA from 1 species